rnacentral:rRNA from 1 species
CAAUAGCGUAUAUUAAAGUUGUUGCGGUUAAAAAGCUCGUAGUUGGAUUUCUGUUGAGGACGACCGGUCCGCCCUCUGGGUGAGUAUCUGGCUCGGCCUUGGCAUCUUCUUGGAGAACGUAACUGCACUUGACUGUGUGGUGCGGUAUCCAGGACUUUUACUUUGAGGAAAUUAGAGUGUUUCAAGCAGGCGUACGCCUUGAAUACAUUAGCAUGGAAUAAUGAGAUAGGACUUUGGUUCUAUUUUGUUGGUUUCUAGGACCGAAGUAAUGAUUAAUAGGGACAGUUGGGGGCAUUUUUAUUCCAUUGUCAGAGGUGAAAUUCUUGGAUUAACGGAAGAAAAACUACUGCGAAAGCAUCUGCCAAGGAUGUUUUCAUUGAUCAAGAACGAAAGUUAGGGGAUCGAAGACGAUUAGAUACCGU